UCAAGUCCACAAUAGACUCUCCUGUCCAC
rnacentral:sRNA from 1 species